AAUUGUAAAUUUAGCCUAAUCCACACAAACUUUAUAUACAUUAACUAAAUCAUUCAUACAAGAUAGUAUGGGCGACAGAAAACUUAUUAGCGCAAUAAACAAAGUACUGUAAAGGAAAAAUGAAAUAGAAAUUAAAUAAUUAUAAAAAUACACCAAAGCACGGACAAAUACCAGUACCUUUUGCAUCAUGGUCUAGCAAGUCUAAACCCACAAAAAGAAUUUAACAGGAUACCCCGAAACCAGACGAGCUACCUCAAGGCAACAUAUAUGCCACUUCCCCCUCUGUAGCAAAAGAGCGGAAAGACCUUUAGGUAGAGGCAAAAAACCAAACGAGCCUGGAUAUAGCUGGUUGCUUGAGAAUAGAACUUAAGUUCACACAAAAGUAAUAUCACCAACAAGGAAGAAAUACAAUUUUUGAUUUAAUCAAUUGAGUUACAGCUCAAUCAGUAAGGGAAACAACCCACAUACAUGAACAAGGAUUAUAAUUUUUAAGAAAAUGAGUCUAGUAGGCCUAAAAGCAGCCACCAAAAUAGCGUCAAAGCUUAACUUAUAAAACAUCAACUAUACCAAUAAAUUUAACCGAAUUCAACAUAACAAUCAAGCCACUCUAUUUUUAGAUAAACUACUACUAGAAUUAGUAAUAAGGACCCUCCUCCAAAUACAAGUAUAAAUCAGAACGAACUAAUCGCUGAUAAUUAAUGAAUAUAUUUACGAGAUCAAGAACAUAAUAAUAAGAUUCAUUAACUCAACACAGAAGUAUUUAAGAAAAGACUAAAAAUUUAGGAAGGAACUCGGCAAACACAGGCUUCGCCUGUUUACCAAAAACAUCGCCUUUUGAAAUAUAAAUAUAAAAGGUCCUGCCUGCCCAGUGACAUCUGUUUCAACGGCCGCGGUAUCAUGACCGUGCAAAGGUAGCGUAAUCACUUGUCUUUUAAAUUAAGACCAGUAUGAAUGGCAAAACGAAAGCCUUACUGUCUCCCUAGAUUAGUCAAUGAAAUUGAUCUUCCCGUGCAGAAGCGGAAAUAUAAAUAUAAGACGAGAAGACCCUGUGGAGCUUUAAACUUAAGCUACAACCACCAGCUUAGUAUAUAGUUUUAGGUUGGGGCGACCAUGAGGUAAAACACAACCCUCAAGAUUGAAAAUUAGAAGGACACUUCAAAUAAUUAAAAUUAAUAUAUUGACCCAAUAAUUGAUCAACGAACCAAGUUACCCCAGGGAUAACAGCGCAAUCUACUCAAAGAGCCCUUAUCGACGAGCAGGUUUACGACCUCGAUGUUGGAUCAGGACUCCCAAAUAGUGUAACAAUUAUUAAAGGUUCGUUGUCAACGA
rnacentral:rRNA from 1 species